GUUGGUGCCUGCAUGUGGAAGAUAUCUAGCUUAAAGACCCACUCUAAUAAUUUUUUACUAUUUACCAUUUAUUAGUGGUUUUUAGUCAAAAGCACGUCACAUGUGUCAUUUUUAAGGCUUUUCUUCUGCAGAGCUCCAGUAGCUCAUCAACAAUUCGCCUCUGAGUCGUGGGCGCAGACAUUGGUGCUCAGUACCCUCCUCUUCAUGCUAGCUUGUAGCCUAACAUUGCCAGUGUAGUAGAAGUGGCAGGUAACAUAUAUGCUAUUCAGCUCUCAGACACUGAUGUCUUUGGGGACAUGAUGAAAGUAAAUAUCAUAAUUGGCUUUCUUACAAGCAUUGCAACAGCACACACUUCUUCCGCCAUUGUCCUCUCUACUUCUCGGAGUCUGGCCUGCAGAAUAGGGGCGGAGCUUGGGCUUGUGACGUAGAAAAUCUGUGUCUGAACCUGCCAUUUGGCUUUGCCAGAGGUUCACAGAGAUCUGAAUGCAAUUUUGUUUUUAUUUUUCUCAUGAUAUGCCCCGUAGCAUCAGAAAAAUGCUAUAUGAACAUGUAGACAACAAGAAAAACAUGAUUUUCAUCGGAGCAAGUUUUCAAUCAGCACAAACAACUCCAUACUGAGUCAUCAGUAUCAUGCCUUUUUAGGGUGUGAUGUGCAAGAACAAAGGUGUAGUGACGGCAGGACUUUGCUCUAGUGCUUUUGCGGACUUGCAGUGUCUUAUAGACUAUAAAGGGAAAAAAAGCCUCCUGUUUGUUAUUCAACACACUUCACAGAGUUCAGGGGUUUAUUGAACCAGUGAAGUGCAGCCGAGUGCGGUUACUUUGACUCCUGCAGCUUAAGCAACAAAGUUGACUGCAAACUGUUUGAUUAGCCAACAGGAGGCUGUUAACCGAGGCAUGUAUUCACCAUCACGCCAGUAUAAAAUCAAAAAACUACACACAUCUCAGCAUGAUGGAGAUUAUACAGUAUAAUUUUUUUUAUAAUUGUUGAAUUUAACCCACUGUGAAUUUGUCUACUGUUUUGUCCUGUAGUUUGGAAAUUCCUUCAAACUUUUCUUAUCUUUUCCUCUGCUUGGAAAUGCUGAGCGUUGGAAGUUGACACCAUACUGACAGCGCUGAGAUAGAUGAGGGGAUGAACGCCAUUUCUUCUUUCUUUUCUUUGGAUGUUUUCUUGGUGCUGUAGACAUAUUGCCUUACUUGAUUGCAUUGUCACAAUCCCCACAGGGAGCUAUUAACUCUACCCAAAGAGUAUGAGCUUCUCGGUCCUUCAGGGGUGGAGGAGGGGUUGGGUGCGGUGGUGGCACUUGGAAAUGCUGAGGGAGGCAGAAACAAUGAAGGGCUGAAAAACGAGGGAGAAAAAUGAGGCUUUGGUUCCAUGUGUGACCAUUAAUAUUCAUUUGUGUGUGCUGUAUAUCAGUAAAAAUAUACAGAGUAUAUGAGUUUUUGCUUUUGUUGAAACAUGUAUGUGGUGAUCGCCUGAAACUUCUGGAUAUUUACACUUAUUCCACUGGUUUAGCAAGUGCCCUAAUGCUCAGAACAAUCAUCAGUCUGGCAAUAUGAUGCUCAAAUUGCUUUAUAUCAUCUCUGUUCUGAGUGUAGAUGUAACUUUA